UGCGGUUCUCAGGUGACGCACCCGGAACCAGAGAGGAGGGAGCCCAAUUCCAGGGUGUGUCACCUGAGAACUGCC
rfam:Myotis davidii contig104614, whole genome shotgun sequence.